rnacentral:lncRNA from 1 species
UAAGGAACACAAUAUAAUUCUUUGUCAUUCAGAAAUGUCAAGGAAGUUAAAAACAUACCGGAUUAUGGUCAGAGGUAGACUUCGGGUUCCUCCUACUCCAGGCUGCCACUAAAAACAAACCUAAUCACAGGUCACUGACAUUAGCAGGUCCUACAACCUCUCUAUCUGUAGAAUACAACUAACCAUGCAUCUCUUCAGACCCUGUGUAGACAGUUACGUUUAGCCUCCCUGGGAGUGAUGGAAAUUUUAGUUCUCCUCACAUACAUCCGAUCCUCCAUUUCCCUUUGUAGCGGGUCUAACACCAGCACUUCUGGCCCAACCCUUGUUGAAAGAACAACUUCCGGUUCGUUCGUGAGCGUUCACUACUACUAAUGGGUUCGACUCUCUCCCAGCCUCGGUCUCUGUCCACCGAGGUGCUGGAGCUCAGCAGCUUAGUAUCCUCCUUCAAAGGCUUCUUCCUAGUUCUAUAGCAACCAACAACACAUCUCUACAGAGUUCAGCUUUGACAGCCAACAGGACGGAUGCUGCCUGACUGCAGCCGCUCGACGCUGCGGGGGCGUCUGGGAGUUGUAGUCCGGACCCGUGAGCUGACGCAGUUUGGGGCAGACGGACGGGCCAGCGCCAUUGUGUCUUUCGCGUGCAUUCGCAGUGCUGCGUGAGAGCCUGAGGAAGACAGCACCCUCCUUCUGUUUUUUUUUUUUUUUUUAAUUCACGACGUCUUGGAGUAUAGGGUUUGUUGGUUCCACCUCUACGGUCCCGGGAGGAGCUGUGUAGUCGUGGACCCGGAUCCUGAGGAGAGACUUCGCGCUCUGGAUAUAGGGCACUGUUUAAGAAAACCAACCGCGUCCUGCGUUGGAGGACAUCAGCUGUCCCCUCUCGUUUCCUCAGCACUCUGCCUACUUUCACGAGAGAACGUUGAGGAAAGUAUGGCUUCCACGCUUCCAGCAUCCGGGUCCCAUGUGAGUAGAGACUUCUUUCAGCUUUUGAGUCUGCGCCGGAGGUGGGUUGUCUGAUCGUGAGAAGUCUGUUAUCAAAUAACCUAGAGUGCCCAAGAAGAUGGCUAGAAUAGAAGAAGAAAGAAAGAAACCUAUUUUUGAACUGGGAACUCUGCAAGCCAAAUUGAGGCUUUUCAAUUAAAUUCCGUAUUUACAUAAUAAUAUUACAUUUGUUUUUGUGUGGGGGUAUGCAUGUGUGUGCCACUGCCUUCGUGUAAAGGACAGAGGACAACUUCCCGAGUCGCAGCUCUCCUUCCAACGUGUGAGUCCUGGAGAUACAACCCGGGCUUAGUGGCAGGCCAACGUGUGAGUCCUGGAGAUACAACCCGGGCUUAGUGGCAGUCACCUUUACCCACUGAGUCAUCUCGCCAUUCCUUUUCAACCUUUUUUUUUUUGAAAGCUGGGGGUUCGGAAGAGAAACUGGCAAGUGUAGGAAGAUAGGAGGCUCGUGUUUACUUUUUCAGCAGCUACUUUAAGGAAGUGACAAUUCAAUUCAAUAACAAGAAAAGAGAUGUAGAUUGGAACCAACAGUCCUAUCCCCUGGGUAAUGAGAAAUGAACGUUUUUCUAGACCGGUCUUAAGUGUCCUCCAUGUUAGUGUGAGACCAACAAUUUGCUCAAGGAUUCAGAUAAAGAAACUCCAGAUAAGAUAAGUAGAAUGUUACUGUGUCGUCUUGGUCAGCCUUUCCAUUUUUCUGUCACUGUGGAGGAGAAAGCCCCGUGGCUGAACAACAU